rnacentral:lncRNA from 1 species
AGGAACCCUAUCCACCAGGUUAGCCUCCCGUUCUUAUCGACCCAAAUCCCAUUUUCGUUCCCUUUUCGUACCAAAGCGAGUUAGUCUACUGUCGGUUCUGGACAUCUUGCUUCAGUACGAUGAUGUGCUUCUACUUGAGCAUCUGGCGAGUGGAUUUACUCUCGUUUCAUUACCAUGGGAUGAAAGAAAUAUAGUUCUUCCUUUUUCUACAUGAGAUCAAACUGCCAAGAAAGAACCAUAGUGGAACGCAACCAAGGUGGUUGAUAAUAAGAGAGAGAAGGCAAUCAAGCAAGGUCGGACAUUGGUAUGCCAAAACUUGCCAUUUCGGUAUGUCUUCUUGUCGUUUUUGUGCAUAUUGAAGUAAGAAAUAGAAGAUUCUUGACAAAUUUAAAUGUGCUUUCACAUUCAGAUUGCAGUUCCUCUUCAGCAUUUGAAUUUGAUUACUUUUUGCAGUUUAUAGUUGAUCUUUAGUGCUUCGGCAUGUAAAUUGUUGUGAAAUAAGUGACAACAAAACAAAAUCAAAUAGAAUAAUGGAAACGGGAAUCACAAUGAUGUUGACCCAUCUUGUUGUUCUUCAUAAUUGGACCAAGCCUUGUGAAGGCAUUCUGCCAGUCAUAAGCCCUAGAUUGGGUCAAGUUCCAUGUCCCUGGCUCAGGGCCAGUUCCAUAUGGAAAUUUUUAGGAAUGUCUUCUUAGAACUUGAGAUGGUCAAGCCUCCCUGCGAUUAGCAAGAACUCAGAGUUAAUAUACAGGAAAUAAUGGCACCUGAAUGAGUCUUGCUUCAAAAACUUUGUAAAUAAUGUUUGGAAGCAUAUCUUAUAUAGUUCCACUUUUGUGGAUCUUGAUGUAUAACCAACAAGAAGCUGGGUUUCAUUUGAUCAAUAGUAAAGGGAGAGGCAUUUUAUGUAUAUGGUCGCUUGAAUUGAUGGUGAUGAUUUAUUUGGAAAGAUCACAUUGAGAUGGAGUAGAGAAUAGGAUCUUCUACUACGAUACCAUUCCAAAAGCUUAAGUUGAUACCAUGUUUAAUAUAUGAUGGCUUAACUGUCCGAUAGAAUAUUUCUUAAAAGAUAUAUUAUGUGAUUUAUCUUCAAAAAUAUGUUGGAUAAAGUUUCGAAUUUUCAAUCUUUGAUAUAUGAAUCUUAUACGUCACAACCAACCAAUAUAUAGAUAUAAAUUUAAUCUUUUUUUGAAUGAUUUGUUACUUUAAAAGCUAAGCUGUAUAAAAGAAAAUAUAUUGUUGUCCGUAUCUUAAUUUAUUGUGUUAGUCAAUCACCCAAAUUUAUAACGAGAGAUAUGAGAGCUAAUUACAUAUUACUUCUGUAAUUAAUUACUUUUAGUAUUUCGAUCUGGUUUCAAAAGUUAUAUUGAGCUCUUAUGAAAAUGAAGAUAUCAUAGGAUUUAUCACUGAGCAUAUGAAGUAUUUUCAUUAGUAGAAUUGUGGUAAGACCCUAAAAGUCUUAUCGUAGACUCUGAUAUCAAUUGGUAAGACCCUAUGAUUUUAUUGUAGAAGAAAGGGGAGAAAUGGGGAUGAUAAUGAUCGCUUCGAGGGGAUCGACCUCCUUGAUCGCUUCGAGGGGAUCGACCCUCCUUAAUCGCUUCAAGGGGAUCGGCCCUCCUUGAUCACUUCGAGGGGAUCUGCCCUCCUUGAUCGCUUCGAGGGGAUCGGCCUCCUAGGGUUUGUCAAAAGACAGAAUAGUAUUUUUCAUUGAUUACUGAAAAGAAACAGUUACAUCCUUAUUUAUAGAGUUUCACCCAGAGUCCAUCAGGACUUGAACUCUAAUAAUAAAUAAAUAUUAAAUAAAUAUUAAAUAAAUCUAUACUUGAUUCUAACUGAACCAAAUCGACUCAAUAAACAAUUGGACUAAACAGACUCAAUAAAUAUUAUUCAAAAAUUAAGAAAAAAUAUCCUAAUAAAUUGAUGACUUGAGGAGAAAUAAAAUUAAAUAUUUUACUUAUGUAAGUAUAUAGAUCUUAAUAUAAUUUUUAAAAAUAUAAAUAUUAAAAUAUUAAAAAUAACUAAUUACAGAAAAUAAUCUAUAAUUAACCUGAGAUAUAAUAUCUCAAUUGGCUUCUAGUUAAAUUGCAUUAAUAGGUAGUGGCCACCUGUGAGUCUCUUUCCAAGUGUUGGAGGGCAGCACCGAGAAGCCUUUCAUUGGGGGUACUAUGGUACUAUGAACAUAGAUAAAUGAGUCGUGAUAACUGCAGACGUGGUUAAGGGUGCCUUUAAUUUAGAUGUUCCAUUUUCAUCUGUGAUAAGUCAGUAUUAUGUUUUCCAGACCCAUUUGUGUUGACAAGGCCUAAUUGCCGCGUACUAUGACACUUCCAAAGUAGGAGUGGAUUAGCCUAUGGCCCACUGUAGCCAGUUCCCUUCUGCUGACACAGGGAAAAAGAGACUGAAGACAGGAAGAUGAAUGACGGAUUAAUAACUUGUGCUUUUCUUUUUGCAACUUUUAAAGCUUUAGUGUCCAUACUUUUACUGUUUUUGGAGAACAACUAAAGGAGACAAACCAAAGCCAUAAAGCUGUUUCCUUUGUGAAAUAUGGCAUCUGGCCUUCGUUGAUAUGGAGACACACUGUGAUGUAUGGUAAAAGUAACAAGUUAUAAUGUCUCAACUAUUUAAAUUUACAUCCAUAGAUUUUUUUUCUGAUCAUUAAACUUAUGUAGGACAAUAUAGUCAAAUUAAGAGCAAAUGCAUAUCUUUUUAUCAUUUCUAAGAAAGUUUAUACAGAUCUUCCUUUAUCUUUGUUUGUAUCAUCAAGUCUUCUUUAAAUACAUUCAGACUAUCUUAACUAAAUUUAUUUAUUUAUGCUUUAGCGAAUAGGUGUGAAAUUAUGUUAGAAAACGUUUAUCAAACUCUAUGUCAUAUCCAAGUUAAUUGGUGUGCAAAUGUAUAUCUAACAUGUACCAUGUAAGGAAUGUCUUUUUGCUUCUUGAAAAUUCGUGGAUGGGGAUAUGGAUAUGAUCUUAUCUAAUCCACAUACAAAUAAAAUUAUAUUUACAUAUCUAAAUUAAGCUAAAGAGAAAGUGGUCGUUAACUUUUUCUUUCGAAGAGUAUAAUGCUUUCUCUUCUUUACACUAUUUGAAUUUCUGUCUGUCCUCUUAUCCAAAUAUAUAUAUAUACAUAUAUGAAUAUUUGCCCUGCAUAUGCAUUUAUUACAAAUACUGUAACCAUAUUCAUAUAUGUUGGAAUAGGUAGAGGCAGAGUGUCUAAGCAAUUUACUAAAGUUUAUUAAAAUGAUACCAUGUAAUGCAAUGAAUCCUUUGAACAAUUUGAUUUAUUUUUCCAUGUUGUCUUCGAAUUUUAGUAGUAUGACCUACUGGGCAAUUUAUUAGUGAUCUGGGAACCUUAAAAGCUCCGCCGAGUUAGAUGCCAAAGAUAUUGCGAAGAAUGCUGACAUGGUUUGAUCGUUCACUCAUAGUUUAUGAACGAGCAGUAUAGCAGCUGCAGACGUAAUGAGAAGUCAGUAUCCUGCAUAAAGUUUAUGCCAUCUGCAAUCCGGUAAGUUUUCUUUGUUACAUCUUCUUUUUCUUGAAAGAAAUUUAUUGUCUACGCCGGUAUGAAUCUGACGAAAAGCAAUCCAAUUCAUAAGAGCAAACAUUUCGAUGAAGCAUCAUUUAUUGUGAUGGAAACACUCUGCAUGCAGCAAGCUCGCUACCUUAUGAUUCUCGAUACAAUCAUACGAUAUUUUCCACACUCGAGCAAUCUCAUGUCUUUGUAGGAAGGACUUUCAGGCCUACAGCGAGAGACAUAUCAUCAUGAUUCCGGUCAAGCUUUCUUCCCACUGACACCAGCACAAGGUUAUAGCGAUUGCAGCCAUGUCACCACGACCGGGC